CUCUUGAGCUCUUGUGGUGACCUGGGAAUCAAUGUGUGAGGUGGUGCUAUGUAGCAGGAACCCCUCUUGCUUUGCAAAUAGUUUUUUGUUUGUUUUCCUUUUUGCCCAAUAGAGCCCUGCUCUACUGACCCUUCAAUGUGCCCGUGUGCCUAAAUAUUCCUGGUCGUGUGAAAAGAACCCAGGUAUUAGCUGAACUAAGGAGCACAAUUCUGCAACAUUUUGGCACCCAAACACGGGGCUUGAGAAAUGAAUGCAAUUGGAGAAACUGGUUGUUUUACCAGGCGUUGAUUGGAAAUGUGUGCUUCCCUUUAAGCAGUCAAGCUCAACUUGCAGAACUGAUGGGAACCCCUUGGGAAAACUGGCCUCAAAUGUUUGUCUACACAGUCCACAUACAGGGUUCUUAACCUGCGGUGAGUAAAGAAUGUCACUUUCCAACAGGCCCAGAUAUCAUAUGCUCUUGGGACCUCAAGAAGAGAGGAGUUUACCCAAUUCAUAGGAGCUGUCAUUUAAAUGUGCUUGCCAACUAGCUUGUUUAUCAAAACAUUCCAGACCCUUUCAAAUUCUCAUUUACAUUGUUUCUUGUUUACCACACCCAUAAAUUUGUAUUACCAGCAUAUUUAACUAUCCGGCUAUUUUGGAGAUUGAAAAAAGAAGACCUGAUUUAUCAUGUGCAAUAUCUCACACAUCUGUCAUUUCUAUUCUACCGCAAUUCGAUGGAGUCUUGUUCUGUGGUCCAGGCUAGAGGGCAGUGGCAUGAUCUCGGCUCACUACAAGCUCUGCCUCCCGGGUUCACGCCAUUCUCCUGCCUCAGCCUCCUGAGUAGCUGGGACUACAGGCGCCCGCCACCACGCCUGGCUAAUUUUUUGUAUAUUUACUAGAGAUGGCUAGUGUUAGCCAAGAUGGUCUCGAUCUCCUGACCUCGUGAUCUGCCCACCUCAGCCUGCCAAAGUGCUGGGAUUACUGGCGUGAGCCACCGUGCCUGGCCAGCAUCCUCUAAUUAUUAUUCAUAGUUUGUGAAUUUAGGCCUACGUGAAUAAUAAUAUAAUAUUUACUAUGAUGUUACUAUCUACCAACCUUAUUUUUCUUUUCUAUAAAAUAGGAGCCAAAAUAAUAUUUAUGUCAUACCUUAUGAAGUUAAAAUAAAAUAUAACGAAUGAGGGGCUUAACAA
rnacentral:lncRNA from 1 species